rnacentral:rRNA from 1 species
UGGGGGAUAUUGCACAAUGGGGGGAACCCUGAUGCAGCGACGCCGCGUGGGCGAAGGAGUGCCUCGGCACGUAAAGCCCUAUCGGCAGGGAAGAAGGUAUGACGGUACCUGACUAAGAAGCACCGGCUAAAUACGUGCCAGCAGCCGCGGUAAUACGUAUGGUGCAAGCGUUAUCCGGAUUUACUGGGUGUAAAGGGGGCGCAGGCGGCGCGCCAAGCCCGAUGUGAAAGCCCGCGGCCCAACCGCGGGACUGCAUUGGGAACUGGCGCGCUGGAGUGCCGGAGGGGCAGGCGGAAUUCCUGGUGUAGCGGUGAAAUGCGUAGAUAUCAGGAGGAACACCAGUGGCGAAGGCGGCCUGCUGGACGGCGACUGACGCUGAGGCCCGAAAGCGUGGGGAGCAAACAGG